rnacentral:rRNA from 1 species
UACGUAGGGGGCAAGCGUUGUCCGGAUUUAUUGGGCGUAAAGAGCGUGUAGGCGGCCAAACAGGUCAGCUGUGAAAACUCGAGGCUCAACCUCGAGACGUCGGUUGAAACCGUUUGGCUAGAGUCCGGAAGAGGAGAGUGGAAUUCCCGGUGUAGCGGUGAAAUGCGCAGAUAUCGGGAAGAACACCCGUGGCGAAGGCGGCUCUCUGGGACGGUACUGACGCUGAGACGCGAAAGCGUGGGGAGCAACAGG